GACGAACGCUGGCGGCGUGCUUAACACAUGCAAGUCGAACGCUGAAGCUUGGUGCUUGCACUGGGUGGAUGAGUGGCGAACGGGUGAGUAAUACGUGAGUAACCUGCCCUUGACUCUGGGAUAAGCCUGGGAAACUGGGUCUAAUACUGGAUAUGACAUGCCACUGCAUGGUGGUGUGUGGAAAGGGUUUUACUGGUUUUGGAUGGGCUCACGGCCUAUCAGCUUGUUGGUGGGGUAAUGGCCUACCAAGGCGACGACGGGUAGCCGGCCUGAGAGGGUGACCGGCCACACUGGGACUGAGACACGGCCCAGACUCCUACGGGAGGCAGCAGUGGGGAAUAUUGCACAAUGGGCGGAAGCCUGAUGCAGCGACGCCGCGUGAGGGAUGACGGCCUUCGGGUUGUAAACCUCUUUCAGCACGGAAGAAGCGAGAGUGACGGUACGAGCAGAAGAAGCGCCGGCUAACUACGUG
rnacentral:rRNA from 1 species